AGAAAUCGAAGAACAAAAGCAAACACAAUAGACAGAAAUAUAAGAAGGAAGAACAAGUACUGUAGGGAGCAAUGACACAAACUUACAAAAGUAAGUAUAAAAAAAACUCAAGACUUUGAUAUCAUGCUUUUUGAAAAUUCUUUUAUGCUUUUGUAAGAUGAAGUUAGAAAAGUUCUUCUAUACUUUUUUUCUUAAAGUUGGCAUCUCUACAUUAAAAGACAACAUGCUUGAAGAAAAUUGUAGCAUUCACGUGUAUGCAUGCUUGAAGAUUCUCAUAGGCUUUGGUAUCAAGCUUUAUGAAAAUUCUUUUAUGCUUUUGCAAGGUGAAACAGUGUCCUUUUUAUGGUAUAAGUGUGCUUUAAUCAUUGAAGGGAAAAAGUACAUAUGCUUGCGAAAAAUAAAUGGAAAUUUUAAAGUGCUUGAAAAGAUCCAUUGAAGAAUAAGUACAUAAGCUUGUAAGAAAAAAUUGGUUAAAUGAAGUUAAAGCAUAAAAGGUACAUGAGCUUGAAGGGAGAAAGUUGGAUGAAUUUGGAAGGCAAAACGGCAAAUAUUGGUUAAAAACAACUUAAUUUUAAUGGGAAAAUGUAAGUGAAGGGAGUAUGGGAUCCAGAGAUGUAAUAAUUUUUUUUUUUUUUUUUU
rnacentral:misc_RNA from 1 species